AUCCCACCUUCUGUCCUUGGAGAAACUCCCUCCUCCUCGCUGCCUGCCGGGCUUCGGAGUGACUCGGCAGAGACAGAGGCACAGGGGCUGCCCUGCUGCUCACCGGUCCACCCAUCUGCCUGGUCUUCUGGAGCUGAGGACUCGGGAAACCAUGCAAUUGAGGCAAGCCUUGGGCUGCUUUAGAGGCGCUGACAUCCGAGGAGACUUCUCCUGGGAGGUCCAACAGCCGAGCUUAGCCCACCGGGCUCUGGGAAAGACCCGACUGAGGCUAAAGCCGCCCCGGAAGGCCAAGUCCGAGUUCCAUUUCUUGAAGAGGCCGGCGCGCGUAAGGCUGUGACAUUGGCCCUGGCGACUGGCUUCCCAGGAGCUGUUCUUUCUCAGGAGCUCCACAGCGCGGGCCAUCUCCAGAAAACUGUCUUCAGAGUGUAUUUCCUUUUAUCGUCAACCCAGAGCCCCACCGCGGCUAAUGCAAGAGGCCAAAAAAUGUUUGGAGGAAGAAAAACAAAGGCAGGAAGUGGCGGCGGCCUGACGGUGCGUGUGUGUCUGCAGAGAAGGGAGGGAGCCGGCUCAGUCUCUUCUUGUUUUUCCAAACUUCAAGGUCCAGGCAGCCCUCUGCAGGGCCGGGCCCCAUUGCUCCCCGCGCGGCAUUGGAGGUGGCCGCCCGGAGAGGAGAAGGCCAACGCCUGCGCCAGGCUUGUCAGGCGGAAACGGCUAACAAGGAGAUUUGGUCAGCAAAACAGACCCAGCCUUUCCGAGGCUUCGUCUGACUUGGCCCGAAAGGUUGGGGAGGGGGGGCUUGCGCAGAGCCUCAGGGACCCUCCUCUCUGGGGACUACCAUCCCUGAGCCUUACGCUUCUUUCCACAGCCUUUGCAGGCGGAAUAUCGGAAUAAAGUGGGUC
rnacentral:lncRNA from 1 species